rnacentral:rRNA from 1 species
CCUACGGGAGGCAGCAGUCGAGAAUCAUUCACAAUGGGGGAAACCCUGAUGGUGCGACGCCGCGUGGGGGAAUGAAGGUCUUCGGAUUGUAAACCCCUGUCAUGUGGGAGCAAAUUAAAAAGAUAGUACCACAAGAGGAAGAGACGGUUAACUCUGUGCCAGCAGCCGCGGUAAUACAGAGGUCUCAAGCGUUGUUCGGAAUCACUGGGCGUAAAGCGUGCGUAGGCUGUUUCGUAAGUCGUGAGUGAAAGGGGCGGGCUAAACCCGCGGACGGCACAUGAUACUGCGAGACUAGAGUAAUGGAGGGGGAACCGGAAUUCUCGGUGUAGCAGUGAAAUGCGUAGAUAUCGAAAGGAACACUCGUGGCGAAGGCGGGUUCCUGGACAUUAACUGACGCUGAGGCACGAAGGCCAGGGGAGCGAAAGGGAUUAGAUACCCUUGUAGUC